CCUACCCUCAACUUUAAACAAAAAGAACAGAGAGCUUCCCUGCUCUCUCCCCCUUUCCCUUCUCUUUUAUUUUCUGCUAGGGUUUCAAAGAAACCCAUCAUUGCUGCCCUUCAACAGUCGCACCACCACCGCACUCGGUGGCCGGCGAUACACCAAAAUGGACUCCUUUAGCUCUCCCCUUUUUUACUUGUUGGAGGCUAGUUCCAAAAACAAAAAGACAAGGGUUCAACCCCCUUUUUAGACUCAACCACGCCGAACGGAGGGGAAGGCUCCGAUAACGCGGCGACGGGGCCGGAUCUGGUGUUGAAGUUGUGGAGAACGAGGGGCGUGAAACAUGGGCGAAAACAAGGAGCGGGGUAUACGGGGAUCCUGUCUGGAGUGCUGACGUGGGGGUUGAAUUUGUAGUCUGCUGAAAAUUUUUGAGAUAGUGGGCUGGUAGGGUUAGUUUAAGUUUAGGUUGUGGGCUGAUGGGGGUUUUAAUUUGGGUCAUGUAUUAUUAAUUAGACUGUUUUAUUUUUUUUUUUAGAUUUUUUUUUUAUUUGGGCUCAGGCUAAGGUUGAAAUUAGGUUUGGUUUUAUUGAGCCCCGGGCAAAAUUUGGGCCUUACAGAUAUUAUUUUAAAUGACCAAUAGUCUAGUCCAUUAGCCCUUUUUAGUUUUAAGAUUCUUUUUUUUUAAUAUUUUGAAAAUUAUUUAGAAAGCAUUUUAUUUAAAUGUUAUGAAAUUAUGAAUGCAAUUUAUGUCAAA